rnacentral:rRNA from 1 species
AUUGAACGCUGGCGGCAGGCUUAAAACAUGCGAGUCGAGCGAGCGGCGGACGGGUGAGUAAUGUCUGGGAAACUGCCUGAUGGAGGGGGAUAACUACUGGAAACGGUAGCUAAUACCGCAUACCAUCAGAUGGGCCCAGAUGGGAUUAGCGAGCAGGGGGGGAAAUGGCUCACCUAGGCGACGAUCCCUAGCUGGUCUGAGAGGAUGACCAGCCACGCUGGAACUGAGUCGUGGUCCAAACUCCUACGGGAGGCAGCAGUGGGGAAUAUUGCACAAUGGGCGCAAGCCUGAUGCAGCCAUGCGGCGUGUUUUAAGAAGUCCUUCGUGUUGUAGAGCGCUUUCAGCGAGGAUGCGUUACCCGCAGAAGAAGCACCGGCUAACUCCGUGCCAGCAGCCGCGGUAAUAC